CUACGGGGGGCAGCAGUGGGGAAUAUUGCACAAUGGGGGAAACCCUGAUGCAGCAACGCCGCGUGGAGGAUGACACAUUUCGGUGCGUAAACUCCUUUUAUAGGUCAAGAUAAUGACGGUAGCCUAUGAAUAAGCGCCGGCUAACUCCGUGCCAGCAGCCGCGGUAAUACGGAGGGCGCAAGCGUUACUCGGAAUCACUGGGCGUAAAGAGCAUGUAGGCGGGUUAAUAAGUCAGAAGUGAAAUCCAAUAGCUCAACUAUUGAACUGCUUUUGAAACUGUUAACCUAGAGUGUGGGAGAGGUAGAUGGAAUUUCUGGUGUAGAGGUAAAAUCCGUAGAGAUCAGAAGGAAUACCGAUUGCGAAGGCGAUCUACUGGAACAUUACUGACGCUGAGAUGCGAAAGCGUGGGGAGCAAACAGGAUUAGAUACCCCGGUAGUC
rnacentral:rRNA from 1 species